UGCGUAGACGGUUACGUAAGUCGGAUGUGAAAUCCCCGGGCUCAACCUGGGAAUUGCAUUCGAGACUGCGUAGCUGGGGUGCGGAAGAGGGAAGCGGAAUUUCCGGUGUAGCGGUGAAAUGCGUAGAUAUCGGAAGGAACAUCAGUGGCGAAAGCGGCUUCCUGGUCCAGCACCGACGUUCAGGCACGAAAGCGUGGGGAGCAAACAGGAUUAGAUACCCUGGUAGUCCACGCCAUAAACGAUGAGAACUAGACGUUGAGAGGGUAAGCCUCCCAGUGUCGUAGCUAACGCGCUAAGUUCUCCGCCUGGGGAGUACGGCCGCAAGGUUGAA
rnacentral:rRNA from 1 species